UACGAAGGGUGCAAACGUUGCUCGGAAUUAUUGGGCGUAAAGGGCGCGUAGGCGGCCUGCUAAGUCGAACGUGAAAUCCCUGGGCUCAACCCAGGAACUGCGUCCGAUACUGGUUGGCUUGAAUCCGGGAGAGGGAUGUGGAAUUCCAGGUGUAGCGGUGAAAUGCGUAGAUAUCUGGAGGAACACCGGUGGCGAAGGCGACAUCCUGGACCGGUAUUGACGCUGAGGCGCGAAAGCCAGGGGAGCAAACGGGG
rnacentral:rRNA from 1 species